UGGACUCCCGGCCUUGCCACAGCAGGGAGUCCCUCACCAGAAGUGGCUGCAAGGCCCGCUGUCGCGCGGUGUGCUCAGAGCUGCGGGAGAAGCGAAAAGCCCCCGGGCAGCUGUGCCAGUGUGUCCAGGGGACAGCAGCCUGUCCCCGCCGAGACACGGCCGCCCCUCACCGCGAGCCGCCACCAGCGACUCCCGCGCUGCGUCCGCCCGAGCGGCUCGGUGCCGCCGUGCAGCGCCCCCUGCGGGCCGGGAGGCUCCUGCAGCCGCCGGCUGCUGAGGGAGCGGGCGGGAGCGCGGCCCGCGGACAGAGCCGGUCCCUGCCCCCGCGGGCCGCGGACAGAGCCGGUCCCUGCCCCCAAGGGGCGCGGACAGAGCCGGCUCCCUGCCCCCGCGGCCCGCGGACAGAGCCGGUCCCUGCCCCCGCGGGCCGCGGACAGAGCCGGCUCCCUGCCCCCGCGGGCCGCGGACAGAGCCGGUCCCUGCCCCCGCGGGCCGCGGCAGCUCCUGCCGGCAGGGACUGUCCGCUGGGUGUGGGUCGCUGUGGUCGCUGUGUGGGAGCCCAGCAGCUCUGCAUUCUGCCAGGGAAUGGCACCCAGCCGUGCUGUCGCGUCAGAGCUGAAGGCCCUGCUUUGAGAAAAGGGGCGGAGCAAAGACCUCCAGAGCUCCCUUCCAAGCUAAUCCGCUUACUUUGUAAAGAAGCUGUUUGGAAACACAGACCUUACCUGGUGGAUUGUCAGAGUUGCAGAGCGAUGAGCAAAUCUGUGCCUGUGUGCAAGCUGGACAGUUUUUCUUUCCACACAGGUUUCUCAGUGCCGCUGCUUUGAACCUUCCAGCAAUACUUCCUGCUUGUCCUAUGUUCCCCAGUUGCCACACCAAGUGCCUUGUCCUGCUCUAUGUCUUCUACUGGCCCAACAGUUGGAAAAGCUGGGUGGACUGUGGAAGGAGGCCGUGAGGCGACUCCACAGCCUGUCCCCAGCAGGCUGGGGACAAUGGACAGGCUGUCUGAACUUUGCCAGAACUGCUCAGGAUGAGGUGGAGUGAAGACAUCUGCUCUGUGCAUCUAGUGGACUCCUACAAGGUAUCCUCCAAACAGAACAAAACAAACCUCUUCUCCCACACAAAGUGUGAGCAAAGAGGAGGACACACAAUGGUGUGGUAUCUGCUCCCAUCAUUUUGGUUCACAGCCUGAAGAGACAACUUUGCAGCCUGAGGCAGAAGCAAAAGAAACAGCACAGUUGGUCCAUUUGGAAAGGGAGAAAGUGAUUUCCUGAACUUCUAGUGGUAAUGGGCUCACAGUGGGAAGAGAUGGCAUGGAGUUAAGCUGUGGGCUGUGGGACGUGCCUGCAGAAGCACAUGGCAGCACAAAGAAGCACAUGGCAGCACAAAGAGGCUUUUCUCUGCCUCAUUUUAGGAAGAGGAGGUGCCACAUGGCAGGGUUCUGCAGAGGAGCCUGCCAGAAGCUGUCAGGUGAACAGCAAAUGAGCAUCCCAUAGAAGGACAUUUAGAAAGUGUAUUGCUGAUGUGGCAACAUGGGAUAGGUCACAUAGUGAGAAUUACCAUGUAAGGAAACACUGUGCCUUGAAAAAGUGUAUAAAACCAGCUUGUUUCUUUGAAUAAAUAAUUCAGAUUCCCUGCUGGUCUGGGAGUAUGUCAUGGUCAUUACAGCUCACUGCCAAUCUGGCAGCACAAAUGGCUUCUGGAAAGACAGCUUCAUUUAUUUUCAAAUAUACCCUUGAGGGUGUGCUGCUGGCACACAUUUAUUAUGUUCUGGAAGUGUAACAAAGGCAUGUCCUGAACACCAGUGCUGGACGUGGCCAGUUGCUGUGUUAUGACUGUAGCAGAGGGGGCUAGGGGUGGAAACUGUGUAAAUUUUCUGCCUCUAGACAGUUGUAGUGGUAAUUUUCACUUUGAUGUGUGAAAUUCUUUUUGUUGAUGCAAGUGAAGUUUGUGUCAUGAAUAUUUAUAUUAAUGCUAAUAACCUUAGUUAAGAGCUGAGAACAGUUCCAUCUCUUUCUAACAGAAGUCUUUCUUUCGAAUCUGAGAUGUCUCUGAAGCUUUUCUUUUCUGCUAGACUGGGGAAGACAGUCCUGGACAAGAUCUUUGGACACAGUUGUUUGUCUGCUUGGGUAAAGCUUUAGUCAAGAUGUUCUUUACCUCUGCAUUUCUAAGCAUGUAGAUGAAGGGGUUUAGCAGUGGUGUUACAGUUGUGUUUAAGAUGGUGACUCUUUUGGUCAGUUCCAAUGAUGGCUUGACAUGGAGGAAGAUGGUGGAGCAGUACCAAAUAAUUACUAUAAUGAGAUGGGAAGAACAAGUGGAGGAAGAUCUUCACUGGCCUUGAGCACAUGGGAUAAUGUACAGUGGAGAUGAUAGAAAUAAAGGAGUUCAGGGUAAGGACAUGGGAGCCAAGGAUGACAAUGUCUCAGGCUGCAAAUGCAAGAUGUGUCUGGGGGUGUGUAUUCUAUUGCCAUCUGUUAGAGAUGAGGCAGUUAUCUUCUGUUAAUUGGGCCACCUGUUAAAACCAGGUGGGAGUGUUUCCUUUAUCUCUUCCAUGAGCAAUCCUCCCUCCAGGAGAUCUCUGCUGUCCAUGGCCACUGAGUGUCCCUGCAGGGCUGAUCAAAUUCCAUCAUCCCAGGGGGAGAUGCUCCGCCCAGGGCAGGAGCCAAGCAUUCCUACCUGGAUCCAAUCUGAGCCUGGAACAGCCCAGCAGCCUUUGCCUGCUGCAUGCCCAGAGGAGCAGCUUUCUUCUGCCCUGAAUUCCCAGAGGAAGAGCAGGCCCAUCUCCAGCAGCCCUGGAGCUGCAGAGGAAAACUCCCCCCUUGUGCAGGAUCCCUGCUCCAGCAGAACCACAGCUGGCACUGCAGGAGGGCUGAGCCCCCAUGGGAUGGGACUGUGCCACCACCCUGACACACAGGGGGUCAGCUCCUGCUCUCACUCUGGCUGUGGUUUAGUUUUUUUGUUAAUUUGUACUACUGCAUUUGUAUUUUUAAUUUUCCUAGUAAAAAACUGUUAUUCCUAUUCCCAUAUCUUUGCCUGGGAGCCCCUUAAUUUCAAAAUUAUAGCAAUUCGGAUUUACAUUUUCCAUUUCAGGGGAGGCUCCUACUCUCCUUAAGCAGACUUUGUCUGCUUAAGUAUUGUCUUUUCAAACCAAGACAAUACUAAGUAUGGUGGUGGAGUUGAUGGUAAGUAAUCACGAGCAUAAUAGUGCAGAGGUUGCCCGUGACUCAGGACAUCCAUAGAGAGGAAGAAGACAAACAGAAAUACUUGCAGGUGUUGAGAAUCAGAGAAUCCAACCAGGAUAAACUCCUGUACUUGGGUUGACUUCUGUUGCACAUCCAGCCUGAAACAGCAAACCUGACUUCAGGGGCUGGGCAUGCAGAAAGCAGAGGCAACUGUGGAGAAACCUGACUCACUCUCCCUUGGUCUCGAGGAGAACAGGGCCAGCUUAUAUUCCAAGCAUAAAUGUCACAGAGGCUGAUACCUGCUCCAGCCUAUCAUGGCUUGGGCACUUUCAUGAGAUGGGACAGUGAUGUCUUCAACGGAGCUGGUCAUAGUCAAGGGAGAGAAACGGGCACUUCCAGGCUGCAGCUGGUUCCCCAACAAACCCUUUCCUCCUGCUGGCUAAUCAAUCAUGUCUCAGCCUGGAUCUCUGCUCACCAGCUACGAAGAGACAUCACACUGUGUCAGAUGGAGAAACUUGUGAUGGAGAUAAAUCAGCUCUUGAUGCCUGUAAUGAACUGGGCAGAACCUGAGCAAGUUCAACAUCUGCUCUCUAACAUACCAGGAUAAAGAAAUUAAGAGAGAAAAAAUUCUCUGUAUUUAACAAUGACUGUUCUCCCCCAGCCUUUCCUUAAGAUAGCUUAAAGUUGAAAGGGAUUUAAGGUUUUGAAGAUAAGCUCCAAGGCAGAAGACAGGAAAAACCCCCAGAAAUCAGAAAAAAACCAAAAUUUAAUCAGUUCAAUUUUCAGUGCAGGUUGUAAAAGCUUUGCCAAAAAACCAGUUUUUUCAUGGCUGCAAAAUUUCUCCUAUCAUCCAUCAGUUUGUGUGCCCAUUCUUUACAUCUGCACACAUCAACCCCUCCAUUCCUCUCCUCUCCCUGCUUUUUAAACUGUAAUCUAUUGGCCUGUCUUUAAUCUAUUGACUGUAAGGUCUGGGACUGUGCUGUAAACUUCAUCCUUAUUACUGGUCUCCUUUGGUGCUGGGUCAGUGCCCUCUGUGUACCCACCACCUUCUGCUAACCAGAGGGACCCUCCAGCUGAGGGGUGGAAGAAAGUGUCACCCUCUGGGGUGGUACUGGCACCUGCCCCCGGCCUGUCCCUGUCUGCCUCCAUUCUAUCAUCCAGAAGUUUGUGGCUCUGAUUUUCUAUUCUAACCUGCCUGCAGACACCUUGGUAUCCUGGAACAGCUUUAUCACCAUCAGCUCUCAGCAGACGUUAAAACAUUCUUGCACCACCUCAUCCUCUACAUGGUGUGUGAUUCACCCCCGAGAGUUCCAGAAACUCUGGUGAGCUCGCUCUUGCCUGAAACUCUCCAGAGCCAGAGCCCAGAUAGUAGGUGAGGCUGUCCUCUGGGAAGGCUCCAGGAAUCAUGGCUUUAAUGAGCAUAAGAGGAAACUGUUUAAUUUCUUUGUCAGUUUAAGCCUGAGAAGUUAAAAUAUUCUGCAUCAAAUGAGCAUGAUCCAUCUCUGCCUCCACUGGGGAAUCUGACACUGUCCCACCUGGGGUAGCACAACAGUCCCUGAGGCAAAGUAGUUUCUGGGCAGCCUGGAGCCCGUUGUUUUCCUGUUCAGGCAACAAGGACUAAGCUGUAUCUGGUGAGAUCUCCUGUUACUGACCCCUGCCAGAGCACAACAGAAUACAGCCUGGGAAGGUCCCGUGAGGGCUUUAGGUCUGUCCAGUGCCUUUCCUGCAAGCUCACCUGCAUGCAAGGUGUGCUGGUUCUGGCCAGGACAGGGGCCAUUUUUGCAGUAGCCAGAGUGGACAUGUCCAGGACGCUGAUGUUAUUUUACACCACCUCAUCUCAUUGCUGGGUGCAGGGGAAAGGCACUGUCUUCUGAGAAGGGCUUGUUUCCACUUGAGAAAACAUCUGUUGUAUCUAUUAGUGGGGGAUUUUCCCAUGUGAAUAAUUUAAUUUCUUAUGCCUUUCGUCAUUAGCAAUGUUGCUGCUAUUGUUCAUUUUCUUAUCUCCUUGCUGUUUCCAGUGUAUUGUUCUUACCUCAACCUGGUAUCUUUACCUUUUGUAUCUGCAGUUGGAGAGGGGAGGGGCACAUGGUUUUAGUGGGAGCACUGCCUUGGAGAAUAUAAUUUCUAAACCAUGGCACAGCAUCAGGAAAAAUCAAAAUGUACCAAAAGCCAUCCCAUGUUUGAAAUGGCACCAAAAUGUAAUGUUUUUGUUAUGAAUAAAAAGUUAUCAAUUUUUUUAAGGUUGCAGAGUUAAAACAAGUUGAACCAGUUGCUGUUGAUUUGAUGGUUACCUUCAUGUUGCAGUUACCUAUUGUUAAGAGUCUUCUACAAUUACCAGUUAAUGGUUGGUGAUUAGCCAUUGUCCCCCCCAUGCUUGCAAGGGAGUGACACCAGACCCCACAGGUAGCAGGGAGGCAGUGACAUCAGAACUAGUAUGCAGAUGAGAAUGCAUUUCACCAGAUUUUGCAAUUUUCCAGGGAAAAAAAACCCCUAAAAACAACGAGCCAACAUGGAAUUAAGAGACCUAAGUGAUGUCUAAAGAUGAGGAACUUAAUCCAGUAUCUGCCAAGAUCCUUUUUACUUCUCACCCUAACAUCAAAAGAUGUUAACUAGAAAGAGGACCUAGAAUGUUAGACUGAAAAAGCGGAAUUUCCGACUCUCCCGUGAGGACAGAAUCCCGAGCUCUGUCUGCAGACCAGCGGACACAGCUGCAUCAUCCUCCUCCUCUGUGCCACUCCUGGGAGCAACGGCGGCAUGGGCGCGACCUGUCGAUUUCUCCCCACCUGAGCUGAUUCUUCUUAAUAAAGGCAUUAAAAAGGAGAAAAAUCUCCUGCCCUAUUUAUUUCAGUUUUCAUCCAACCCUAAAGUACUUGUAAAUCAGCCUGACAAAGGUGGAUGUGCAAUCAAGAGUCAAACAAAACAGGGAUACAUGAACACGGGAGAACGGACAGGCAGAUGAGUUGAAUUACAGAUAAGAAUCAGUAGAGGAAAUCUUGCCAGCAAUUAAGACAGGUAGGAGAAGAGGAAAAGUGACUAAUGAAUCAUUGAGACCCCCAGGGUAGUGACUUUGUGAUGGUGUCAUUGUGAGGGCAGCAGAGGAGGAGGACUGUGCUGGCUGAAGCCACAGCAUGCACAACAGAUAUUUGGAUUUCUCAGUCUGGAAAA